GCUCUGGUGGCCUAGUGGUUAGAGUGUCGGCUUUAGAUGUGGGAGAUCAUUGGUUUGAUCCCGUGGAGUCAUACCAAAGACU